rnacentral:rRNA from 1 species
AGGACGAACGCUGGCGGUGUGCUUCACACAUGCAAGUCGAACGAGGUAGUAAUACCUAGUGGCGGACGGGUGAGUAACACGUGGGAAUCUGCCUUCAAGUAGGGGAUAGCAAGCCGAAAGGCUUAUUAAUACCGUAUACGUAUAUAUUUGGACACUUUUAUAUAUGAAAGUAGCAAUACGCUCGAAGAUGAGCCCGCGUCCGAUUAGCUAGUUGGUAGGGUAACGGCCUACCAAGGCGACGAUCGGUAGGUGGUCUGAGAGGACGAUCACCCACAAUGGGACUGAGACACGGCCCAUACUCCUACGGGAGGCAGCAGUGGGGAAUUUUGCGCAAUGGGGGAAACCCUGACGCAGCGACACCGCGUGAGCGAAGAAGCCCUUGGGUGUAAAGCUCUGUCGGCUGGGACGAAAAAUGACGGUACCAGCAAAGGAAGCAUCGGCUAACUACGUGCCAGCAGCCGC